CACGUAGGGUGCGAGCGUUGUCCGGAAUUAUUGGGCGUAAAGAGCUCGUAGGCGGUGUGUCGCGUCGGCCGUGAAAACCUGCAGCUUAACUGUGGGCUUGCGGUCGAUACGGGCAUCACUGGAGUUCGGCAGGGGAGACUGGAAUUCCUGGUGUAGCGGUGAAAUGCGCAGAUAUCAGGAGGAACACCGGUGGCGAAGGCGGGUCUCUGGGCCACUACUGACGCUGGAGAAGCGAAAGCAUGGGGAGCGAACAGG
rnacentral:rRNA from 1 species